GCCUGGGUGGCUUAGUUGGUUAAGCAGCCAGCUUUGGCUGAGGUCAUGAUCUCACGGUUUGUGGGUUUGAGUCCUACAUCAGGCU
rnacentral:tRNA from 1 species